GUACUCGCUUUGGCGGCACAUGUGUAAAAACUGGAAGGAUACAGAGAUUAGCAUGACUUCUGUUCCAGGACAACAUGCAAAUUCGUGAAGCAUUUAAAAAAUAC